AUUGAACGCUGGCGGCAUGCCUUACACAUGCAAGUCGAACGGUAACAGGUCUUCGGAUGCUGACGAGUGGCGAACGGGUGAGUAAUACAUCGGAACGUGCCUAGUAGUGGGGGAUAACUACUCGAAAGAGUGGCUAAUACCGCAUGAGAUCUACGGAUGAAAGCAGGGGAUCGCAAGACCUUGUGCUACUAGAGCGGCCGAUGGCAGAUUAGGUAGUUGGUGGGAUAAAGGCUUACCAAGCCGACGAUCUGUAGCUGGUCUGAGAGGACGAUCAGCCACACUGGGACUGAGACACGGCCCAGACUCCUACGGGAGGCAACAGUGGGGAAUUUUGGACAAUGGGCGCAAGCCUGAUCCAGCAAUGCCGCGUGCAGGAUGAAGGCCUUCGGGUUGUAAACUGCUUUUGUACGGAACGAAAAGCCCUGGGUUAAUACCCUGGGGUCAUGACGGUACCGUAAGAAUAAGCACCGGCUAACUACGUGCCAGCCGCCGCAGUAA
rnacentral:rRNA from 1 species